AAUCAACGCUGGCGGCGUGCCUCAGACAUGCAAGUCGAACGCGAAAUUUCCCUUCGGGGAGAAAGUAGAGUGGCGCACGGGUGAGUAACACGUAGGUAAUCUACCUCUGGGUGGGGAAUAACAGCCGGAACGGCUGCUAAUACCGCAUAAUGCAGCGGCACCGCAAGGUGACAGUUGUUAAAGCGGGGGAGUCCUGAAAGGGAACCGUCGCGCCUGAAGAGGAGCCUGCGGCAGAUUAGCUAGUUGGUGAGGUAAUGGCUCACCAAGGCAACGAUCUGUAGCCGGCCUGAGAGGGCGGUCGGCCACACUGACACUGACAUACGGGUCAGACUCCUACGGGAGGCAGCAGUCGGGAAUUUUGGGCAAUGGGCGAAAGCCUGACCCAGCAACGCCGCGUGAAGGAUGAAAUCCCUC
rnacentral:rRNA from 1 species